rnacentral:rRNA from 1 species
AUUGAACGCUGGCGGCAGGCCUAACACAUGCAAGUCGAGCGAGCGGCGGACGGGUGAGUAAUGUAUGGGAAACUGCCUGAUGGAGGGGGAUAACUACUGGAAACGGUGGCUAAUACCGCAUACGAUCAGAUGUGCCCAGAUGGGAUUAGCUAGUAGGUGGGGUAAUGGCUCACCAAGGCGACGAUCCAUAGCUGGUCUGAGAGGAUGACCAGCCACACGGGAACUGAGACACGGUCCAGACUCCUACGGGAGGCAGCAGUGGGGAAUAUUGCACAAUGGGCGCAAGCCUGAUGGAGCAAUGCCGCGUGUAUGAAGAAGGCCUUCGGGUUGUAAAGCACUUUCAGUGGGGAGGCGUUACCCGCAGAAGAAGCACCGGCUAACUCCGUGCCAGCAGCCGCGGUAAUUC